rnacentral:rRNA from 1 species
AGAGUUUGAUCCUGGCUCAGGAUGAACGCUGGCGGUAUGCUUAACACAUGCAAGUCGAACGGAACUCUUCGGAGUUCAGUGGCGGACGGGUGAGUAACGCGUGAGAAUCUGGCUUCAGGUUCGGGACAACCAUUGGAAACGAUGGCUAAUACCGGAUGUGCCGCAAGGUGAAAGAUUAAUUGCCUGAAGAUGAGCUCGCGUCUGAUUAGUUAGUUGGUGGGGUAAAGGCCUACCAAGGCACCGAUCGGUAACUGGUCUGAGAGGAUGACCAGUCACACUGGGACUGAGACACGGCCCAGACUCCUACGGGAGGCAGCAGUGGGGAAUUUUCCGCAAUGGGCGAAAGCCUGACGGAGCAAUACCGCGUGAGGGAGGAAGGCUCUUGGGUUGUAAACCUCUUUUCUCAGGGAAGAACACAAUGACGGUACCUGAGGAAUCAGCAUCGGCUAACUCCGUGCCAGCAGCCGCGGUAAUACGGAGGAUGCAAGCGUUAUCCGGAAUGAUUGGGCGUAAAGCGUCCGCAGGUGGCUUUGCAAGUCUGCUGUCAAAGCUCAGGGCUUAACCCUGAAUCGGCGGUGGAAACUGAAAGGCUAGAGUGUGGUAGGGGCAGAGGGAAUUCCCAGUGUAGCGGUGAAAUGCGUAGAGAUUGGGAAGAACACCAGUGGCGAAAGCGCUCUGCUAGACCGCAACUGACACUCAUGGACGAAAGCUAGGGGAGCGAAUGGGAUUAGAUACCCCAGUAGUCC